AGAGUUUGAUCAUGGCUCAGGAUGAACGCUAGCGGGAGGCUUAACACAUGCAAGUCGAGGGGCAGCACGAGGUAGCAAUACUUUGGUGGCGACCGGCGCACGGGUGAGUAACACGUAUGCAACCUACCCUGUACAGGGGGAUAGCCCGGAGAAAUUCGGAUUAAUACCCCAUAAUGAUAUUUAAAGGCAUCUUUUAAUAUUUAAAGUUUCAACGGUACGGGAUGGGCAUGCGCAACAUUAGCUAGUUGGUAGGGUAACGGCCUACCAAGGCUACGAUGUUUAGGGGACCUGAGAGGGUGAUCCCCCACACUGGUACUGAGACACGGACCAGACUCCUACGGGAGGCAGCAGUGAGGAAUAUUGGUCAAUGGGCGUAAGCCUGAACCAGCCAUCCCGCGUGCAGGAAGACAGCGCUAUGCGUUGUAAACUGCUUUUCCAGGGGAAGAAAACCCGCUACGUGUAGCGGUUUGCCGGUACCCUGGGAAUAAGCAUCGGCUAACUCCGUGCCAGCAGCCGCGGUAAUACGGAGGAUGCGAGCGUUAUCCGGAUUUAUUGGGUUUAAAGGGUGCGUAGGCGGAUUGAUAAGUCAGUGGUGAAAACCUUCAGCUUAACUGGAGAAUUGCCAUUGAUACUGUUAGUCUUGAGUACGGUCAAGGUAGGCGGAAUGUGUAAUGUAGCGGUGAAAUGCUUAGAUAUUACACAGAACACCGAUUGCGAAGGCAGCUUACUGGGCCAUUACUGACGCUGAUGCACGAAAGCGUGGGGAGCGAACAGGAUUAGAUACCCUAGUAGUCC
rnacentral:rRNA from 1 species